rnacentral:lncRNA from 1 species
CCGGGCGCCUCUGGCCGGGGCACUGGCUGAGCCACGCCUGCCCGCCCCUCCCUGGCGCCGCCCGCGUGGCGCGCCUCGACCCUGCUCUCCCGCGAGGGCCGGGAGGGCUCCGGGACCUUGCAGACUCCACGCGCCUCACGGCUCCUCCAGCUCCUCGGAUCUUUCUCCUUGCGUCGCCGCCGAGUCCCCUGGGGCGGCCCCGCCUCCGGCCGUCUCCUCAGAGACCUUCCCUGGGGGGCGCCUUCCCCUCAGCGCCCCUUCCCGGGCCUCGAGCCAGCGGCUGCCGCAGGAGCUGGCCCCGGGGCGAGGAGCUUCAGAUUCAGGUCCCUAGCCGGCCUCGGAUUCUACUGAGGGGGAAAACAAGAGGAAGAAAGAAAGAUAGACAAGGUUUUCCUCAAGGCAGUAAGCAAAAAGCUGGUUUCUCAGAAGAAAGAAUUAUGUCUGAGAUUUUACCCAGGACUCUCCAGAUCUCUCAUUCUACACAGAAGGACCCUUUCAUUUGGAACGUGCAGAAACUGAGGAGGACCAUCUCUCUCCUCCAUGGGGGCUGCCUGAGUUAAAAAGGCCUGGGUCCAUCUUUUUUCCGUAGGAGAGCUGACUUCAGAGUCUAGAGCCAAAUCUUCACUUCUGUGGCUCUAGAUUGAGGAUUUGCCCUUCUGAUCUCUGUGGGGCUUUUUUUUUUUAACCUGGGAAUUCCCCUGGGCUCUUCGGCUGUUAUUCUCAUCAACCCCUCUCUAUAUUCUGCAAGACAUUGAAAUCUUUCUCCCAGCUUGGCCCCCACCUCCAAUCCCAGUAUUCUCUUUUCUGAGAUUGGAGUAUUUCCAACCCCUCAGUUGCCAGGCACUGAAGGUUUUCAUCUUCCAGGCCUGCCAUGUUUACCUCUGAGAUGUUUCUGGCAACUGUCCACUUCUCUGCAUUCUCACACUGCUGCUCUUGAUAAGCUUCGAUUAUCUGGGGCUGAAUUGUUUCAAUAAUUUCCUAACUGAUUUUCUUGCCUCCUAUCUGUCCCCACCACCAACAUAGACUUAAGAAUGUCACUCUCUUGACAAAACAAGCCAACAUCCUCUAUCCUCUGUCCCACUCCCAAACCUGCAGUAACUUUCCUGUGCAAUUGUAAUACAGUGUAAACUUUCAUAAGGAUGGGGAGUGGCCAAGAUGGCUGACCAGAAGCAGGUAAUGUACAUGGCUCUCACGGAGAGGAACAGAAGGGACGAGUAGAUACAACACCUUCAACUGAAACAUCCGGGUACUCGCAUUGGGAUUAAUCAAGGAAACAACCUGACCCACAGAGAACAAGGAAAAGCAAGACAGGACAACAGCCCACCUGGGAGCAACAGGGAACCAGGGGAUCUUCCCCUGCCCAGGGAAGUGGUAAGUGAAUGAGCGACCCCGGAAACCAUGCUUCUCCCACAGAUCUUUGCAACCCUCCUGUCAGGAGAUCUCCUUGUGAAUCCACUCCACUAGCAGCAGGGCCUUCAGUCUUCAGUCUGGCAGACAGGGCUACAUGGAGUCUCAGCAAAGCAGCCACUCAGGCAUGCGUGGAGACCCUGGAGGCUUAGAUACUUGGGCGUUCUGGCAAAAGUAGCUGCAUCUCCCACAAAGAGGGAGUUUAGACUCCCAUUCAUACCCCUAAGAAAGAGGCUGAAUCCAGAGGGCUGAGCAGCAACAGCCCGCAGG